ACGCCGUGGCAAGAAAGUUGGUGAGCAGAAUGUUCUGGAAAGUACAGCCAUAGAGCAUGACAGCUGCGUAUGCGAAGCCAAGCGAAGCCUAGUGGUAUCCUGAGUAGCGCGGAGCACGAGGAAUUCUGCGUGAAUCUGCCGGGACCAUCCGGUAAGGCUAAAUACUCCCGAGAGACCGAUAGUGAACCAGUACUGUGAAGGAAAGGUGAAAAGCACUUCGAACAGAAGAGUGAAAUAGUUCCUGAAACCAUGUGCCUACAAGCGGUCGGAGCACCUUCUGGUGUGACGGCGUGCCUUUUGCAUAAUGAACCUACGAGUUACUUUUUCCGGCGAGGUUAAGGAUUUCAGAUCUGCAGCCGAAGCGAAAGCGAGUCUGAACAGGGCGUAUAGUCGGAAGGAGUAGACGCGAAACCAAGUGAUCUACCCUUGGGCAGGUUGAAGGAUGGGUAACACCAUCUGGAGGACCGAACCAAUAAGCGUUGAAAAGCUUCUGGAUGACCUGAGGGUGGGGGUGAAAGGCUAAUCAAACUUGGAGAUAGCUCGUACUCCCCGAAAUGCAUUUAGGUGCAGCCUUGACUUAUACUGGCAUGAGGUAGAGCGACUGAUAAGAUGCGAGGGCUUCACCGCCUAUCAAGUCUUGACAAACUCCGAAUGCGUGUCAGUUCUAUGUCAGGAGUGAGGGCAUGGGUGCUAAGGUCCAUGUCCUAAAGGAGAACAAUCCGGACCAACAGCUAAGGUCCCGAAAUGAAUACUAAGUUGAACUAACGAAGUCAGAUUGCUAAGACAGCUAGGAUGUUGGCUUGGAAGCAGCCAUUCAUUUAAAGAGUGCGUAACAGCUCACUAGUCGAGGAGUUUGGCGUGGAUAAUAAUCGGGCAUAAGUAUUCUACCGAAGCUUUGGGAUGAGAAAUCAUCGGUAGGGGAGCAUUCCACUCGGCGUCGAAGGUGAAGCGCGAGCUUUGCUGGAGCGUGUGGAAAAGCAAAUGUAGGUAUAAGUAACGAUAAAGGGGGUGGGAAACCCCCUCGCCGAAAGACUAAGGUUUCCUGAUCAACGCUAAUCGGAUCAGGGUAAGUCGGGUCCUAAGGCUCAGCCGAACGGCGAGGCCGAUGGCAGAACCGGUUAAUAUUCCGGUACUACCUGUGGGAGUGACGUGGAGACGGAGUCGUGACAGCGCCGCGGACUGACGGAAUAGUCCGUUGAAGGGUGUAGAUGCUGAUUGUUCCAGGCAAAUCC
rnacentral:rRNA from 1 species